GACGAACGCUGGCAGCGUGCUUAACACAUGCAAGUCGAACGGAAAGGCCCUGCUUUUGUGGGGUGCUCGAGUGGCGAACGGGUGAGUAACACGUGAGUAACCUGCCCUUGACUUUGGGAUAACUUCAGGAAACUGGGGCUAAUGCCGGAUAGGAGCUCCUGCUGCAUGGUGGGGGUUGGAAAGUUUCGGCGGUUGGGGAUGGACUCGCGGCUUAUCAGCUUGUUGGUGGGGUAGUGGCUUACCAAGGCUUUGACGGGUAGCCGGCCUGAGAGGGUGACCGGCCACAUUGGGACUGAGAUACGGCCCAGACUCCUACGGGAGGCAGCAGUGGGGAAUAUUGCACAAUGGGCGGAAGCCUGAUGCAGCAACGCCGCGUGCGGGAUGACAGCCUUCGGGUUGUAAACCGCUUUCGCCUGUGACGAAGCGUGAGUGACGGUAAUGGGUAAAGAAGCACCGGCUAACUACGUG
rnacentral:rRNA from 1 species